UCCGGUUGAUCCUGCCGGACCCGACUGCUAUUUGGGUGAGGAUAAGCCAUGCGAGUCGAAUGGGAUACCUAAAUUUCCCAUGGCGAACUGCUCAAUAACACAUGAUCAACUUACCCUAUAGAGAAAAAUAACCUCGGGAAACUGAGGAUAAUGUUUCAUAGUUGAAAAGGCUUGGAAAAGUUUUUCGACCAAAGGGAUAAGAAAAAUGGUUUUUAUCCGCUAUAGGAUAGGAUCGUGGUCGAUUAUGGUCGUUGGUGAGGUAAUGGCUCACCAAGCCGAUAAUCGAUAGGGGCCGUGAGAGCGGGAGCCCCGAGAUGGGUACUGAGACAACGACUCAGGCCUUACGAGGCGCAGCAGGCGCGGAACCUCCGCAAUACACGAAAGUGUGACGGGGUUACCCAAAGUGUUCAAUUUUGAACUGUGGUAGGUGAGUAAUGUCCCCUACUAGAAAGGAGAGGGCAAGGCUGGUGCCAGCCGCCGCGGUAAAACCAGCUCUUCAAGUGGUCGGGAUAAUUAUUGGGCUUAAAGUGUCCGUAGCCGGUUUAGCAAGUUCCUGGUAAAAUCGGGUAGCUUAACUAUCUGCAUGCUAGGAAUACUGCUAUACUAGAGGACGGGAGAGGUCUGAGGUACUACAGGGGUAGGGGUGAAAUCUUAUAAUCCUUGUAGGACCACCAGUGGCGAAGGCGUCAGACUGGAACGUGCCUGACGGUGAGGGACGAAAGCCAGGGGAGCGAACCGGAUUAGAUACCCGGGUAGUCCUGGCCGUAAACGAUGCAUACUAGGUGAUGGCAUGGCCAUGAGCCGUGUCAGAGCCGUAGGGAAACCGUUAAGUGUGCCGCCUGGGAAGUACGGUCGCAAGGCUAAAACUUAAAGGAAUUGGCGGGGGAGCACCACAAGGGGUGAAGCCUGCGGUUCAAUUGGAGUCAACGCCGG
rnacentral:rRNA from 1 species